rnacentral:piRNA from 1 species
UGAUAUGUUAGGACAUUUGCCAAGUUAAU